UGAGGAAUACGUAGGAAUCUGCCCUUAAGUGGGGGAUAACCCGGGGAAACCCGGAUUAAUACCGCAUGAUCUCGAAAGAGCAAAGCAGGGGACCGCAAGGCCUUGCGCUUUUGGAGGAGCCUACGUCGGAUUAGCUAGUUGGUGAGGUAACGGCUCACCAAGGCGACGAUCCGUAACUGGUCUGAGAGGAUGAUCAGUCACACCGGAACUGAGACACGGUCCGGACUCCUACGGGAGGCAGCAGUGGGGAAUAUUGGACAAUGGGCGAAAGCCUGAUCCAGCAAUGCCGCGUGUGUGAAGAAGGCCUUCGGGUUGUAAAGCACUUUAAGUUGGGAAGAAAAAGCUUCACCUAACACGUGGAGCCUUGACGGUACCGACAGAAUAAGCACCGGCUA
rnacentral:rRNA from 1 species